GCCAUUUUGUGGGCGGGGGGCAGGUCUGCUCCUCAGGGGAGGUGGUGAUUGCUCCGCGCCUCUCACUCUUUCUAAAUACAUUAUGUAUAAUUAUAUAUUUUAUAUAUAAAAAUAAAUGAGCCUAUGUCGAGAUAUUUGACUCAUUGCAUAGCAGAGCUUUGCUGUUUAAACGCUUGGUUUUGCAAAGCAGCUAACCUUUCCCCACUAAUUACUUUAAUAAUUUUCACCUCUCUGUAUGUUCUGCUGUUCCAUCACAAUGCUGUUCUCCUUGUGGUAGUGCUGCUCCUGGAUCAGUUCCAGUUUAAAUAACGGGAUUGCAAUUCAUGGAGCUGAGGGAGAAAAGAAACCUCUCUCUGCACCUGGGGUCCCAGUGAUGCCAGUGAUAAGUCUUGGAGGAUCAAAAAGUACUUCUGAAAAGCACUCUCCUUGCCUUCCAUCCUAAAUUAUCUUGCACAAUCAAGAAAUUAUCAAAACAGAGCACAGAAGCUGAGCCCUAUAAAUAAUGCAGCUGAUAUCAGGAAGAAGCUGGAGUUGUAGAAGAUGUAGCGGAAAUCACUGGUUAUGUCUACCAGGAGACCUGAAAUAGAAGUCAUAGCUUAGCCAAAGAGAAGAGACACACUAAAGUCAUUCAUUUACAUGAACAUCAAACCUGAAUCAUUCAGCAAACUGCCAUAUGCAAAAGACAAGCAUUCUCUGAUGAGUUAAGUUCUCUCCUCUUCUCUGGAUUCUAGUGAUUGUUUAGUUUUUUAUUUGUAGUCACAAGUCAGGUGAUACUUCUGUAGAAAGAAUUUCUCAAUACACACAGAAAUCAGGAAAGAAAGGAAAUUGGAAUUUUUUCCCCACCCUGCUGUUUUAUUUCAUGUGCUCAGCAGAGGACCCUUGUGCCACUGCCACUUAGAGGCUUUUGAAAUGAGUGACCAUAUUACAUCCUAGGGCAGAAAAUAGAACAACUAGAUAGAGAAAUAGCUCAGAAAUUUACAUAGUAAGGUCUCCAAACUGAACAUUUGUCUCUAAUCCUGUUUAAUGAAGGAUAAGGAAAUUCACAGCACAGCAAGAUUAUGACUAACAUUAAGUGACCUCAAUAUAAACCAUUUAGAAAUGUGAGAUAUCAAGGGAGUAAUUUAACACUAAUAUUAGAGAUGGAAAAGUGAUACUUAGGCCAAAAUAUAUGAUGUUUUCCAUAGGCUGCUUAUCAAUGUGGAAAUACUGGAAUAAUGUUUAUUUGCUUAUAUUUUUCAGUCAAGAUUGGUGAUGUUUCUUUCCAUGGUGUACUUUUUUUGUAGCAGAUUUUAGGACUACAAACAGAAAUGGAGGUGCUUUUCUGUGCUUUUUUUUUGGCCAAUUGCUGCUCCUGUUAGAGAUCACCAAGAAGGGACCUUUUUUCUCUUUGAGAAAAGUGACUGACAUGCUAAUGCCAGGGAAUACCAUGAAAUGCACUGCAUGUUACCACCACAUUAUUGAACCAGACAUAAUUUUCCUGCUGAGUAGCCACAAUUCAUUGUCUGGAGAGGAGAACUAAAGCCUGAACUGAGGCUAACAUGCUCUGGUUGACAUUUGUUGGUCUUUUGAAUUUACUGCAGGAGCAGGUGUGUCUUGGACAGGUCACUUAGUGGCAUUUAGAGUGAACUGUGAAUAAUUUAUUGGACUGAGAGUCAACUAGCUCCUUUCUUGUCUCCAGAGAAAAAUUAAUAUGCUCCAGAACUUGGAAAGAAGACUGAACAGAAGCUUUUACUAUGGGGCUUUUGAAUAAUGUAGGACUGGUAAUAAUUGUGAACACAAAUAAUUCAUUUAAUGGGAUGUUCACAAUUUCUUGAGACUUCUUGGAUAAAACAAUGCAAACUGGUAAAAAGAUGAAAAAGUUAAUAGUUAUUCCUGUUGGCUUCUUGCCACUGGAAAAAAGCUGUCAUUGCUCCCAUAUGUACCAGAUCACAUACCAAGUGAGUAAUUUUUUCAGUGUGAUCUUGAUGCAGAUGUAGAAGUUACUUUCCAGCUGUCAAAAGAGGCUGACAAUUCUUUUCCAACCCUACCUUUUAUACUGCCCCCUUUGCAUAACUCACCUACACCAUGGGUCUGGAAACUCCCUAAUUCCUCUUCUUGAUGCCCCCAAACACUUGUCACCAGUUUCCAAGCCACCACCUUUCCCCUAGCCAGGUUUCAUGGCCUCUCUCACCUGUG